rnacentral:rRNA from 1 species
UACGUAGGGUGCAAGCGUUGAUCGGAAUUACUGGGCGUAAAGCGUGCGCAGGCGGUGAUGUAAGACAGUUGUGAAAUCCCCGGGCUCAACCUGGGAACUGCAUCUGUGACUGCAUCGCUGGAGUACGGCAGAGGGGGAUGGAAUUCCGCGUGUAGCAGUGAAAUGCGUAGAGAUCGGAAAGAACACCAACGGCGAAAGCACUCUGCUGGGCCGACACUGACACUGAGAGACGAAAGCUAGGGGAGCGAAUGGG